GCUAAGUAGCAAUUGAGGAAGGUUAGCACUCCUCUUGAUAAGAAUGGAAGAGAUCCUACUGGCUUUUACAACAUAUAUAUGUUUAAGGCAUUGCCACCUACUCUGUGACAUCCAGUCCUGGCUAGUU
ensembl:snRNA